AGACUUCAGUUUCUGUUCUCUAUCGAUUUUUCAGCCAUGUCUGUCGACUUUGAUUUUCUCUGCUAAAAUAACUUGUGGGCAAAUUUCCACUGUUCGCUAUAGUUGUGUCUUGUCUUCAGUUAUGCUUGGAGUCCCCUUUAAGAGAUGGUGUUCCCCCCACCCCCCCAUGCUGAAAAAUUCAUCCCUCAGGUUGAUAGCACAGCAGGCAGGCAGGCAUUUUCCUUUCUGUCUUUCAUGUAAUGACCGUGAAAUCCCUUCCAUAAGAACAUAGAGGUUUUGUUCUGUUCUGUUUCUAUUUUCAGAACAAUAAGUCUCCAAUGCACCACCACCCACCGGAAAAAGAGCACACAGUGACUGACAAGGUCUUUGAGGAUUCACCAUGCUGUCUUCCACAGUGGUUGAACUAAUUUACACUCUCACCAAUGGAACCCUGGGUGGCAGGUACUAUUGGCACCAUUUUCCAGAUAAAGAAAAUGAAGUUCUAAGCAGUCAAAUGACAUGUCAAGAUCACCCAACUGAUAUGAAAGGCAAGAUUCAAGGAUCACACCAACUAGAGG
rnacentral:lncRNA from 1 species